rnacentral:rRNA from 1 species
UACGGAGGGUGCAAACGUUAUUCGGAAUUACUGGGCUUAAAGAGUUCGUAGGCGGCAUGAAAAGUAGGGUGUGAAAGCCCUCGGCUCAACCGAGGAAUUGCGCUCUAAACUGUCGUGCUCGAGGAACCUAGAGGUGAGCAGAACAGAUGGUGGAGCGGUGAAAUGCGUUGAUAUCAUCUGGAAUACCGGAGGCGAAGGCGGCUCACUGGGGGUUUUCUGACGCUGAGGAACGAAAGCCAGGGUAGCGAACGGG